rnacentral:lncRNA from 1 species
AGAGUCACUCUCAGAGGCUGAAUACAUCAAGCUCAUUGCAAUGGACCAUCACCAUAACCAUCGUUCUCAGAUGGGUUCGAGCCGUUGGAACGCACCGUUGUACAAUGAAGACAAUGACAAGAUCCUAGAAGUCGACACUUGGAAGCCUCACUUCCCUUCUUAUCAUAAGGAGUCACCAAGGAAAAGAGGAUCGCUUGUGGUACCGACAAGUGUGGAGAACAGUCCACAAGUAAGGUCUAGACCAGGAAGCAGCAGCGGUGGCGGUUCAAGGAGAAGAACGCCGUUUACGCCAACGAGAAGCGAGUACGAGUACUACUCUGGGUAUCACCCUAACUACAUGGCUAACACUGAGUCAUACAGAGCAAAAGUCCGGUCACAAAGUGCACCUAGACAGAGGCUUCGAGAGUUCUCUUCAGAGAGUGGCUACAAAAGGUCAGUUCAGGGGCAGUAUUACUACUACACAGCGGCUGCUGAGCGAUCGUUUGAUCAGCGUUCGGAUUAUGGAGGGGUUUAUUUCUGAUCAGUUAGGUCGAAACCAAAGUGAGUUCUUCAUUUCCCAAUGCUGAUCCUGUUUUGUUUUAAUAUAGUUGAAAAGAUUAUAAGAAAAACUGAGUGGAAUGUGUGUAAAGUAGAUUUUGAGAUACAAGUGUAGACAGUGAUCAAUCACUGUUGUGUAUUUUCUUUUGACUAGAUGCUACGGUACAGAUCUCGUACCAACAGGGGUCCACAUUUGUCUGAUUAAAAAAAAUACUUCAAUAAUUUGCAGUGAUGUCAAGUCACAACUUAAGAGUUAUGAGUUGACUGAUAUAAACAAUUUAUUUUUCCCGGUAAAAGAAAGAAUAGUCACACAAACACACACAACCUCCUGAAUAGCAUCAAACGCUAUCACAACUCCAUCGUGAAGUGGGUAUACAGCUCAGGUAACGACACCAGUGGCAGUGAUCAUUCCCAUCUUCUCCUUUGAAUAGCAGCACCAGUGCCACCACGAACCUGCCAAAAAAUUCCCCAAAAGACAUUCGCAUAAUUACGUUACAUUAGAGGGAUUUAACAUUGAAAUGACCAAGUGAUCGAUUAAGCUGUACCCGGCGAUCAAUAGAGCUAGAGACAGGAGCCACAGUAUGUACUGGUAAGGCUUGUACUUGGAUGUGAGACGUCUGCCUUGUGGCAUAUGCGCUGUCUUUCUAACCACUUGAUCUGGGGACGAGUCAUGAGAAGGAAACCGAGGAAAAAACCAGUUAAGAAUCCACCGACAUGAGCAAAGUUAUCAACGUAAGGUAGACUCCCAAUGCCCAGGUUUAUCACAAUGACAACACAAAAGCGUCAAGAAUGCCGCAAUCUAACUUGUCCACCACACACAAAAGAAACAAAAAAAAAAGGUCUCACUAUACCUAGAGGGUCAAGAAGUAUCAGUUUAUAGAGAGCUCUUAUGAUUGAGAGAUAAACCUUGUUAGAGUAUAUGGUCCAGUUGGUGAGAAGUUCAGAAAGCAUAGAGCCAAGAAGGCCAAAAAGGGCACCAGAAGCUCCAACAGAGAUAUCGUUUCUGAUAAACAACGAAGACAGUAUGCUUCCUCCCAUUCCUGACAUUAUGUAUAUGACCCCAAUCCUAACUCCCAAAUGUUCCAAGACCUGUAAUUAAACUCGGAGAAUCGGCUCCUUUGACCAAAACUUGCUCUAGUUAAAUGGGUUGUUGACAAAAAAAAUAAAAAACAAAGCAUACCGCUCUGCAGAGAGUGGCUACAAAAGGUCAGUUCAGGGGCAGUAUUACUACUACACAGCGGCUGCUGAGCGAUCGUUUGAUCAGCGUUCGGAUUAUGGAGGGGUUUAUUUCUGAUCAGUUAGGUCGAAACCAAAGUGAGUUCUUCAUUUCCCAAUGCUGAUCCUGUUUUGUUUUAAUAUAGUUGAAAAGAUUAUAAGAAAAACUGAGUGGAAUGUGUGUAAAGUAGAUUUUGAGAUACAAGUGUAGACAGUGAUCAAUCACUGUUGUGUAUUUUCUUUUGACUAGAUGCUACGGUACAGAUCUCGUACCAACAGGGGUCCACAUUUGUCUGAUUAAAAAAAAUACUUCAAUAAUUUGCAGUGAUGUCAAGUCACAACUUAAGAGUUAUGAGUUGACUGAUAUAAACAAUUUAUUUUUCCCGGUAAAAGAAAGAAUAGUCACACAAACACACACAACCUCCUGAAUAGCAUCAAACGCUAUCACAACUCCAUCGUGAAGUGGGUAUACAGCUCAGGUAACGACACCAGUGGCAGUGAUCAUUCCCAUCUUCUCCUUUGAAUAGCAGCACCAGUGCCACCACGAACCUGCCAAAAAAUUCCCCAAAAGACAUUCGCAUAAUUACGUUACAUUAGAGGGAUUUAACAUUGAAAUGACCAAGUGAUCGAUUAAGCUGUACCCGGCGAUCAAUAGAGCUAGAGACAGGAGCCACAGUAUGUACUGGUAAGGCUUGUACUUGGAUGUGAGACGUCUGCCUUGUGGCAUAUGCGCUGUCUUUCUAACCACUUGAUCUGGGGACGAGUCCUAAUCUCUCUAGAUAACUAUAACUCAAUAGUUUUAGGAAACUUGCUUCUCAAGCUAUUUCAAGUUUAUCCAACAUUCUCCCUCCUAAGCUUGAAACCUUCUUGUGACAACUCUUGCAUUCCAAUGAGGUCUCUCAUUUCUUUGAACUUGAUUCGUCCCAACGCUUUUGUUAGUAUGUCCGCCUUUUGUUCGUUACCCGGUACAUGCUCAACUUCUAUGAGCUCUCUCUCAACACAUUCUCUUAUAAAAUGAUACCUAGAGUGUAUGUGCUUACUUCUUCCAUGAAAGACUGGAUUUUUUGUCAAAGCGAUUGCAGACUGAUUGUCUAUCCUGAUUGUGACCUUCUCUCGAGCUUGGCCGGUUACUUCACUCAAAAGAUCACGCAGCCAGAUCGCCUGUCUCGCAGCCUCUGUACCCGCCAUGAACUCAGCCUCACAGCUUGAUAGAGCGACAGUGUCUUGCUUUUGCGAGCACCACGUUAUGGGACUCUUUCCUAAGUAAAAGAUGUGUCCAGUUGUGCUUCUCCCAUCAUCUGGAUCAACAUUAUAGCUGCUGUCACUAUAACCAAUCAGCCUUGGUACCUUCUGUGAUCGCUCGAACAAUAAACCGUAACUUGUGCUUCCUUGUAGAUAUCGUAGGCAUUGUUUUAAUGCAACGCCGUGUGACACUCUCGGGCUAUGCAUAUAGCGACUCAACACUCCAACGCAGAAGGAUAAGUCAGGUCUCGUGUGGAGUAGAUACCUUAAGCAGCCGAUGUUCCUUCUGUAGUUUGUCGCAUCGAUCUCCUGCUCUUCCUCCGCUUUCGAAGGUUAAGGCCGAGCUCCAUGGGUGUUUGAGUCAAGUUGCACUUUUCCAUUCCUGCAUUCUCGAGUAUCUUCUUAGCAUAUUGAUUCUGAUUAAGUGUGAUCCCUCGAUCAUCUUGAACCACUUCUAUACCAAGAUAGUAUGUUAAUCUCCCAAGAUCACUCAUAUCAAAUUUGCUUGCCAUGUUCUUCUUGAACUCGUUUAUCAGCUUCUUGCUUGUUCCAGUCACGAACAAGUCAUCCACAUAGACAGCUACAACAAGAAGCUCGCCUUUUAUAGUCUUUCGAUAUACUGAAGGUUCUUUAGUACACUUACUGAACUCAAGCUCCAUGAGUAUCUGGUUAAGUUUGUUGUUCCAAGCUCUCGGCGCUUGCCUUAAUCCAUACAACGCUUUGUUGAGCCUGUAUACCUUCUUCUCAUAUCCUUUUCUUUCAAAGCCUUCUGGUUGACUCACAUAUACGGUCUCUUUCAGUUCUCCAUGCAAGAAGGCAGUUUUAACGUCGAGAUGAUGGAUCUCCCAUCCUUUAUUUGCAGCCAAACUAAUGAGUAGUCUUAUCGUCUCAAGUCUUGCGACUGGCGCGAAUACCUCCUCGAAGUCGACUCCAUAUUGUUGCACAUAGCCCUUUGCAACCAAUCUGGCUUUGAACUUGUUGAUGCUUCCAUCGGCAUUGCACUUGAUUUUAAAAACCCAUUUUAAUCCUAUAGCUUUUGCGUCACUCUCAGAGGCUGAAUACAUCAAGCUCAUUGCAAUGGACCAUCACCAUAACCAUCGUUAUCAGAUGGGUUCGAGCCGUUGGAACGCACCGUUGUACAAUGAAGACAAUGACAAGAUCCUAGAAGUGGAUACUUGGAAGCCUCACUUCCCUUCCUACCAUAAGGAGUCCCCAAGGAAAAGAGGAUCACUUAUGGUCCCGACAGGUAUGGAGAACAGUCCACAAGCAAGGUCUAGACCAGGAAGCAGCAGCGGUGGCGGUUCAAGGAGAAGAACGCCGUUUACGCCAAC